rnacentral:rRNA from 1 species
UACGUAGGUGGCAAGCGUUGUCCGGAUUUACUGGGCGUAAAGAGCGCGCAGGCGGUCGUUUAAGUCGAAUGUGAAAGCCCCCGGCUCAACUGGGGAGGGUCAUUCGAUACUGAUCGACUUGAAGGCAGGAGAGGGAAGUGGAAUUCCGGGUGUAGCGGUGGAAUGCGUAGAGAUCCGGAGGAAGACCGGUGGCGAAGGCGGUCUGCUGGGCAGUUUCUGACACUGAUGCGCGACAGCGUGGGGAGCAAACAGG